rnacentral:lncRNA from 1 species
GUGGAGGAAGAUGACGACGACGACGAUGACUUUGAGGAGGAGGAUUUGGGGGAGGAGAUUGAUGAGGAUGUUGAUGACGAGGAUGCUGUUGUGGAGGUGCAUGAUGUACCAAGUAGUGACGAGGAGGAAGAUGGCGUGGAGGAGGAUGAGGAAGAAGAGGAUGAGGACGAAGAUGAUGAAGAAGAGGAGGAGGUUGAGGAUGAAGGUGAAGAGGCGGAGCCACAGAGCAGUGGUAGGGUUGCCAUGAUGACAGGCGAGGAUGAAGGAGAAGAGAUAGAUGGGCAUGAACAUGGAGAAGGGGACGAUGAGGAUGAAAAUGGUGAGAUUGGUGAAGAGGAUGAGGAGGGAUUGGAGGUGGGGAAUGAUGACGACGAAGACGACGCAGA